rnacentral:rRNA from 1 species
UGGCUCAGGAUGAACGCUGGCGUCGUGCCUAACACAUGCAAGUCGAGCGAUUCUCGUCGGAGAAGAGCGGCGGACGGGUGAGUAACGCGUGGGUAACCUGCCCUGUACACACGGAUAACAUACCGAAAGGUAUGCUAAUACGAGAUAAUAUGCUUUUGUCGCAUGGUAGAAGUAUCAAAGCUCCGGCGGUACUGGAUGGACCCGCGUCUGAUUAGCUAGUUGGUAAGGUAACGGCUUACCAAGGCGACGAUCAGUAGCCGACCUGAGAGGGUGAUCGGCCACAUUGGAACUGAGACACGGUCCAAACUCCUACGGGAGGCAGCAGUGGGGAAUAUUGCACAAUGGGCGAAAGCCUGAUGCAGCAACGCCGCGUGAGCGAUGAAGGCCUUCGGGUUCGUAAAGCUCUGUCCUCAAGGAAGAUAAUGACGGUACUUGAGGAGGAAGCCCCGGCUAACUACGUGCCAGCAGCCGCGGUAAUACGUAGGGGGCUAGCGUUAUCCGGAAUUACUGGGCGUAAAGGGUGCGUAGGUGGUUUCUUAAGUCAGAGGUGAAAGGCUACGGCUCAACCGUAGUAAGCCUUUGAAACUGGGAAACUUGAGUGCAGGAGAGGAGAGUGGAAUUCCUAGUGUAGCGGUGAAAUGCGUAGAUAUUAGGAGGAACACCAGUUGCGAAGGCGGCUCUCUGGACUGUAACUGACACUGAGGCACGAAAGCGUGGGGAGCAAACAGGAUUAGAUACCCUGGUAGUCCACGCCGUAAACGAUGAGUACUAGCUAUCGGAGGUUACCCCCUUCGGUGGCGCAGCUAACG